AUUCCGUUUUCACAACUUCAAAAAAAUCAAUUUUGACAGAUUUCGAUAUCAACAUGCUUUCUCGAGUCUGUAGAAGUUUAUUCGUAUUAGGUUCUAGAGACAGCUCGGUAAUUGGAAAGACACUUUCAACAAGAAAUGCUGCAUCAGUAUCUGAAGUCAAAGAGGGACAUGAAAAUGUGAAAAAGAGAAAAUCUAAAAGAAAAGAUAAACAGUCAGAACAUGGAGACAAACCUGCUUAUGUUCUGGACUUCUUUAACAAUUGUGACUAUAUCACUCUUAACAGACUCUCAAGGAGCACUUUCAUUAAGAGAUCAAACAUAAAGAACAUCAUAUUGCCUAGUGAAAUGAUCAAGGGGGAUGAUGACAUGAAAUGCAGACAAAGAUUUGUGGACAUAAAUGAGUUUUGCGACAAAAGUGGUUUCAGUAAGACACAGAUAGACACACUAGCUGAUCUUGUCAUGAUGUUUGAGACCCAAGAGAAAAAGCAAGAAAAGUUUGCUAGGAUAUUUUACCCUGCAUUAGAAAUACCAGAUACAAAUGUAAGAGCAAAGUUAAAAGACAAUUGAGACUGUGGUCGCAGUGGAUAUUUUCUUGAAUGAUGUGAUUUGGUCUGAACAAGAUGUGUCCAGUAGACUGGUAACAAAUCUUGGUCACUUCUUUUUCGAUGUAAAAGACAACAAGAGGUUUGACCAUGUCAAACAUGGACAACAGAUGCAGAAAUUGUGUGAUCAACUUCCUGACUGUCCUAUGUAUUUCCUGAACAAUCGGUCGGGUAUGUUCUCCAGGGAUACAAGUGGCAUCACCCAAUACCAACAUCUUAUGGAAUCUAUCUUCAUUACCCAUAUGAACUUGAGGUCAAACACUGAUCUUGGUGAUUCUAACAAUGUGAUUUUAUUCACCCCAAAUACACUAGAUGCAUUUUACAACCUCAAGUUUGGACAAGAGGUGGAAAUGAUGUUUCCGUUACUGAAAUCGUGGUACAAGAAAUUUAAGAGCCCGAUAGAUGGAAUGUUAAUGUCGCCAAAGGUUGAGAUAAAGCUGUUCGCGAAGGAAACGGAUGAAAGAGUUCGUGAAAGAAUAUUAAGGUGCAUUCUUAUGUCAGAUGCUGGGUGUAAAAUUCUGCGCAGAAGUGAGAAAAAGUUUCCACGGUUUUAUUCUGAUUAGCUGUUCUGAGGACUUUGAUAAAGAUGUUUUAUGUAUUUUCAUCAGCCCAUGAUUUUAUUUAAAAUAAAUUGUUUGAUAAUAGAUUAGUUGAAUACAUUUCAAUCUGUUUAUUUUGUGCUAAAAUAAAUAAACUGUAGCAUAUUUUUAUGCCCCCCUUCGAAGAAGAGGGGUAUAUUGCUUUGCACAGGCAUGUCGGUAUGUCGGUCGGUCGGUCGGUCCGUCGGUAGACCAAAGCUUGUCCGAGUGAUAACUCAACAAUUCCUGGACGUAUGGUCAUCAAACUUCACAUGAAGGUUGGGCCUGACCAGUAGAUAAACCCUAUUGAUUUUGGGGGUCAUCGGGGUAACGGUCAAGGUCACAGUGACAUUUAAUGGUAAUUUUUUUUUAAAGCUUGUCCGAGUGCUAACUCAACAAUGCCUGCACCCAUGGCCCUCAAACUUGACAUGGAGGUUGGGCCUGACCAGUAGAUGACCCCUAUUGUUUUUGGGGAUCAUCAGGUUAAAGGUCAAGGUCACAGUGACCUUGAAUGGUAAAAGGUUGUCCGAGUGAUAACGUGACAAUGCCUGCACCCAUGGCCCUCAAACUUGACUUGGAGGUUGGGCCUGACGAGUUGCUGACCCCUAUUGUUUUUUGGGCUCAAUGGGUCAAAGGUCAAGGUCACAGUGACCUUGAAUGGUAAAAGGUUGUUCGAGUGAUAACUCAACAAUGCCUGCACCCAUGGCCCUCAAACUUGACUUGGAGGUUGGGCCUGACCAGUCGAUGACCCCUAUUGUUUUUGGGGGUCAUUGGGCCAAAGGUCAAGGUCACAGUGACCUUGAAUGGUAAAAGGUUGUCCGAUUGAUAACUCAACAAUGCCUGCACCCAUGGCCCUCAAACUUGACUUGGAGAAUUGGCCUGACCAGGAGAUGACCCCUAUGGUUUUGGGGGUCAUCUGGCCAAAGGUCAAGGUCACAGUGACCUGGAAUGGUAAAUGGUUGUCCGAGCGAUAACUCGACAAUGCCUGCACCCAUGACCCUCAAACUUGACUUGGAGGUUGGGCCUGGCCAGAAGAUGGUCCCUAUUGAUUUAAGGGGUCAUUGGGCCAAAGGUCAAGGUCACAGUGACCUGGAAUGGUAAAAGGUUAUCUGAGUGAUAACUUGACAAUGGCUGCACCCAUGGCCCUCAAACUUGAUUUGGAGGUUGAGCCUGGCCAGAAGAUUGUCCCUAUUAAUUUUAGGGGUCAUUGGGCCAAAGGUCAAGGUCACAGUGACCUUGAAUGAUAAAAGGUUGUCCAAGUGAUAACUCAACAAUGCCUGCACCCAUGGCCCUCAAACUUGACAUGGAGGUUGGGCCUGACCAGUAGAUGACCCCUAUUGAUUUUAGGGGUCAAAGGUCAAGGUCACAGUGACCUUGAAAGCAAACUCGACAAUUCUUGGACGUAUGGUCAUCAAACUUGACAUGAAGGUUGGGCCUGCCCAGUAGAUGACCCUUAUCGGCUUUGGGGGUCAUCAGGCCAAGGUCAAUGUCACAGUAACCUUUAACGCAAAAAGUUAUCAAAUCUUCCCCCACUGAUAUCUUAACAAUGCCUGAACCUAUGAUCAUUAAAUUUGACAUGGAUGUUAAGCCUGACCAGUAGAUCACCCUUAUUGAUUUUAGGAUUCAUAGAGCCAAAGGUCAAGGUCACAGUGAUCUUGAAUGGUAAAGGUUGUCCAAGUGAUAACUCAACAAUGCCUGAACCCAUGGCCUUCAAACUUGAAUUGGAGUUGCAUCUGACUUGUAGAUGACCCCUUAUGAUUUAAGGGGUCAAAGGUCAAGGUCGCAGUGACCUUGAACGAAAAAAACUUGUCUUGUGAUAACUUGACAAUGCCUGCACCCAUGGCCCUCAAACUUGACAUUUAGGUUUCAGGUGACCAGCUGAUGACUCUGGAUUUUGAGUUCAUAGAGUCAAAGGUCAUGACGGUCAUAUCACACUUUAUCCUCACACUUUAAUGGUCAUAAUCUUAAAACAGCAACAAAACAGCUGUCAUUUCGGUCCAUGCAUAUUUCAUUCAAUUGUCCAUAUAAUCCUGACAACAUGGCGCUCAGGGGGGGCAUAAUGUUUGACAAACAUCUUUUGUUUGUAUUUGAUUUAAUUAAGAAUUUUGUAAAUGUAUUGUUAAAAAUAAAGGAUACUGACAUUUUGUUAACUCAAUCACUUAGAUUACCAAGAUAUGUGGAUGCUAAUGACAUGCAUGCAUGCAAACCUAUAGAAUUUGUUUAAGGCAAAGAAGGCCAUUGUUUUCAAUAACUAAAUCAAAGAUUUUUAAAACCUAUUUGUUUGAUAGUAUCAAAUGUAACUCCCAGAAGUAUUGUCAGAGAUACUGAAGAUAAUGAAAUUGGCUCACAUGCAAAGCUUACUGCAAUGGGCAACCUAACUGCAGCAUCAAUAUGAGUAUCUACAUUUGUUAACAUGUAGUUAUACUGUCUUACAUUAUAACAGUACCAGUCGAUUGAAAGAUGGAUUUUGAAUGAUCAAUACAAAUGUGACUCUGUAGAGUUUUCAACAAUUUAUUUAGAAUAGAUAUUUUAUAUGGACCACAAAUGCUUGCUAAUUGAUACAAAACAACAGACAUGAACCAGAAGUUCACUAGAUUGUCAUGGUUUAAAUGCCAGUCCCCAAUUUACUUGCACAAUCGUCUUUAACAAGAUCGAGCUUCUUAUCUUUUGAAACACAAUCUGUGGUUUCUUUCUUUCAAAAAAAGUUUGAGACUUCAAAGGAAAUUAUUCCUUUGACAGUGGCCAUAUUUUUGGUUGGUUAAAGCAAGUAAUCAGGCUAUGUGGUAGAAGAUGCUUUGAGAAAUUGGGGACAGGUCAUGUAGUUAAAAAUGCUUUUGAGUGUUGGCCCCAAGUCAAAUUUGGAUUAAUUUCUGGACCAUGACAAUUUUAGGAAACAUUAAAGUGAAAACAUUUUGUAGAAAAUGGUGGCUUGUCAAUCAAAAUAUAAACAAUGUCUAAUAAAUAUCAAUAAUAG